rnacentral:rRNA from 1 species
GACGAACGCUGGCGGCGUGCUUAACACAUGCAAGUCGAACGGAAAGGCCCUGCUUUUGUGGGGUGCUCGAGUGGCGAACGGGUGAGUAACACGUGAGUAACCUGCCCUUGACUUUGGGAUAACUUCAGGAAACUGGGGCUAAUACCGGAUAGGAGCUCCUGCUGCAUGGUGGGGGUUGGAAAGUUUCGGCGGUUGGGGAUGGACUCGCGGCUUAUCAGCUUGUUGGUGGGGUAGUGGCUUACCAAGGCUUUGACGGGUAGCCGGCCUGAGAGGUUGACCGGCAAACUGGGGAAUAAGAACGGCCCCAGACGCCUACGGGGGACGGCAGUGGGAAAUAGUGCAAAGUGGGGGGAAGCUUAAGACAGCAACCCCGCGUGCGGGAUGACGGCCUGCGGGUUGUAAACCGCUUUCGCCUGGAACGAAGCGGGAGUGAGGGAAGUGGAUAAAGAGGCACCGGCUAGCUACGGG